GAAAAUCACGCUAUGUUCAUAGUCUAUAUGUACCCUGUAGAUCCGAAUUUGUGUGAGGUACCCAAGUCACAAAUUCGUUUCUGCAGGUAUAAUGUAGCCUGUGACCUGACCAGCGAUUGGG
rnacentral:precursor_RNA from 16 species